rnacentral:lncRNA from 1 species
GGGUUGCCGCCACAGCAUGGCUGCUGAUGAGUAGUGUAGGUGUGUAUGCAGGAACUGAACCUGGGCUGCUGAAGUGGAGCGCCCCAAACUUAACCAGUAGGCCACGGGCCUGGACCCGGAAGUUAUUUUUUAAAAGGAAAUUUAAGCCACAACAAUGAAAGGUUCCAAGAAAAUGUUUCCUUGUGUCACGCAUCUGGUUUUUCUUAAGAUCUAAUUACCUGAUAGCAUAAAGCACUGUCGUCUUUAAUAUAAUAUAAAAGAAAUAACUGACUUGCUUUUUUAUCAUGCUAAGUUAGAGAGAAGGAAGAACAAGGAAAGGUGAAAGUUUGAUCAGCGUAUAGCACAUGCAUCCUUAAGAAAGUUGAAACACAUUCAGACUUCCACUUGAGUAAUGGGAAUAGAAGUGAACACAGUGAAACUUUAUGAGCUCAGACGCUGACUUAGUGAAUAUUCUUUGAAGCUUAAGCAUAUUCAGAGUGCCAAAUGGUAUUUUUAAGUGGCCAAUAUAGCAUACUCUCUAAUUAAGCCAACUGUAGUAUGGUGAUAUUUUGAGGGCUAGGUACAUAUCUAUAACUACCAGCAUUUCAAAGAUAGGAAAAGUAAUGGAGAGAAUAAGAAAUUGUUAAAGAGCAAGACAGUCAUGGUUAGAAUUUUCACAUUUCCUGGUCUACUCUUCGUCAGUUCCUUAGCAGAUAUUACUAUAAAAAAUAUUAAAAUAUUUAGGGUCUGGCUCGGUGGUGUGGUGGUUAAGUUUGCACCGUCCACUUGGGCGGCCUGGGGUUCGUGGGUUUGGGUCCCAGGCACGGACCUCCACACUGCUCAUCAGGCCAUGCUGUGGCAACGUCCCACAUAUAAAAUAGAGGCAGACUGGCAACAGAUGUCAGCUCAGGGCAACCUUCUUCAUACACUCACACAAACACCCUAAAAUAUUUAAGUGGGAAUCUUGGAGGUGGAGAGGAUGAAUGUUCUAAAGGUGGGAAGCAGAAAUGGCCAUUCUAGAGUGAAAGUACAUCGGUGACUAGUGUGAAAGAGACGGGCAGUUUUUUUAUUCUCCCGUUUCCCAAAGACACGCGCACACACACUUGCUCUGUUAUAUCCACCGUUUUUUCAAAGAACAAAAUAUGGCAGUCAUUUCAACCCUCAUUUCUAUUCUAGUGCUGCCAAAAACAAUAGACAUUGAAUGGCCUUGGACUAAAUAAACAGAAUUUAAUUUCUCAGACCUCAUAUUCCUUUUGAAUGGUUUUGGUCUUAAUAGAGCAGCUUAACAAGGGUUUUGAAUGACACUUUCUAAUAAUUAAAACUCAAGAAAUGGAAC